CAAGAAAAACGGCGUCCUUGAGGCCCGAUUUUCAAACCACUGUGUACCGAAUUGUUUGUUGCCUCGGCGGGCUGGCGGCGGGUCUCGUGGCCCUCCGUUCCCCUCGCGUGCCUCACGGCCGCGCGGGGAGCCGCCCGCCGCAGGGCCUUUCAAAAACCAUUCUGUUCGACGAACGUCUGAUAUUACCUUCGCGAAUGCGAUAAAUA
rnacentral:misc_RNA from 1 species